rnacentral:rRNA from 1 species
GGAAGAGCCCAAACCAACAAGCUUGCUUGUUGGGGUUGUAGGACACUCUAUACGGAGUUACAAAGGACGACAUUAGACGAAUCAUCUGGAAAGAUGAAUCAAAGAAGGUAAUAAUCCUGUAGUCGAAAAUGUUGUCUCUCUUGAGUGGAUCCUGAGUACGACGGAGCACGUGAAAUUCCGUCGGAAUCUGGGAGGACCAUCUCCUAAGGCUAAAUACUCUCUAGUGACCGAUAGUGAACCAGUACCGUGAGGGAAAGGUGAAAAGCACCCCGGAAGGGGAGUGAAAUAGAACCUGAAACCGUGUGCUUACAAGUAGUCAGAGCCCGUUAAUGGGUGAUGGCGUGCCUUUUGUAGAAUGAACCGGCGAGUUACGAUUUGAUGCAAGGUUAAGCAGUAAAUGUGGAGCCGUAGCGAAAGCGAGUCUGAAUAGGGCGUUUAGUAUUUGGUCGUAGACCCGAAACCAGGUGAUCUACCCUUGGUCAGGUUGAAGUUCAGGUAACACUGAAUGGAGGACCGAACCGACUUACGUUGAAAAGUGAGCGGAUGAACUGAGGGUAGCGGAGAAAUUCCAAUCGAACCUGGAGAUAGCUGGUUCUCUCCGAAAUAGCUUUAGGGCUAGCCUCAAGUGAUGAUUAUUGGAGGUAGAGCACUGUUUGGACGAGGGGCCCCUCUCGGGUUACCGAAUUCAGACAAACUCCGAAUGCCAAUUAAUUUAACUUGGGAGUCAGAACAUGGGUGAUAAGGUCCGUGUUCGAAAGGGAAACAGCCCAGACCACCAGCUAAGGUCCCAAAAUAUAUGUUAAGUGGAAAAGGAUGUGGCGUUGCCCAGACAACUAGGAUGUUGGCUUAGAAGCAGCCAUCAUUUAAAGAGUGCGUAAUAGCUCACUAGUCGAGUGACACUGCGCCGAAAAUGUACCGGGGCUAAACAUAUUACCGAAGCUGUGGAUUGUCCUUUGGACAAUGGUAGGAGAGCGUUCUAAGGGCGUUGAAGCAUGAUCGUAAGGACAUGUGGAGCGCUUAGAAGUGAGAAUGCCGGUGUGAGUAGCGAAAGACGGGUGAGAAUCCCGUCCACCGAUUGACUAAGGUUUCCAGAGGAAGGCUCGUCCGCUCUGGGUUAGUCGGGUCCUAAGCUGAGGCCGACAGGCGUAGGCGAUGGAUAACAGGUUGAUAUUCCUGUACCACCUAUAAUCGUUUUAAUCGAUGGGGGGACGCAGUAGGAUAGGCGAAGCGUGCGAUUGGAUUGCACGUCUAAGCAGUAAGGCUGAGUAUUAGGCAAAUCCGGUACUCGUUAAGGCUGAGCUGUGAUGGGGAGAAGACAUUGUGUCUUCGAGUCGUUGAUUUCACACUGCCGAGAAAAGCCUCUAGAUAGAAAAUAGGUGCCCGUACCGCAAACCGACACAGGUAGUCAAGAUGAGAAUUCUAAGGUGAGCGAGCGAACUCUCGUUAAGGAACUCGGCAAAAUGACCCCGUAACUUCGGGAGAAGGGGUGCUCUUUAGGGUUAACGCCCAGAAGAGCCGCAGUGAAUAGGCCCAAGCGACUGUUUAUCAAAAACACAGGUCUCUGCUAAACCGUAAGGUGAUGUAUAGGGGCUGACGCCUGCCCGGUGCUGGAAGGUUAAGAGGAGUGGUUAGCUUCUGCGAAGCUACGAAUCGAAGCCCCAGUAAACGGCGGCCGUAACUAUAACGGUCCUAAGGUAGCGAAAUUCCUUGUCGGGUAAGUUCCGACCCGCACGAAAGGCGUAACGAUUUGGGCACUGUCUCAACGAGAGACUCGGUGAAAUCAUAGUACCUGUGAAGAUGCAGGUUACCCGCGACAGGACGGAAAGACCCCGUGGAGCUUUACUGUAGCCUGAUAUUGAAAUUCGGCACAGCUUGUACAGGAUAGGUAGGAGCCUUUGAAACGUGAGCGCUAGCUUACGUGGAGGCGCUGGUGGGAUACUACCCUAGCUGUGUUGGCUUUCUAACCCGCACCACUUAUCGUGGUGGGAGACAGUGUCAGGCGGGCAGUUUGACUGGGGCGGUCGCCUCCUAAAAGGUAACGGAGGCGCUCAAAGGUUCCCUCAGAAUGGUUGGAAAUCAUUCAUAGAGUGUAAAGGCAUAAGGGAGCUUGACUGCGAGACCUACAAGUCGAGCAGGGUCGAAAGACGGACUUAGUGAUCCGGUGGUUCCGCAUGGAAGGGCCAUCGCUCAACGGAUAAAAGCUACCCCGGGGAUAACAGGCUUAUCUCCCCCAAGAGUUCACAUCGACGGGGAGGUUUGGCACCUCGAUGUCGGCUCAUCGCAUCCUGGGGCUGUAGUCGGUCCCAAGGGUUGGGCUGUUCGCCCAUUAAAGCGGUACGCGAGCUGGGUUCAGAACGUCGUGAGACAGUUCGGUCCCUAUCCGUCGUGGGCGUAGGAAAUUUGAGAGGAGCUGUCCUUAGUACGAGAGGACCGGGAUGGACAUACCUCUGGUGUACCAGUUGUCGUGCCAACGGCAUAGCUGGGUAGCUAUGUGUGGACGGGAUAAGUGCUGAAAGCAUCUAAGCAUGAAGCCCCCCUCAAGAUGAGAUUUCCCAACUUCGGUUAUAAGAUCCCUCAAAGAUGAUGAGGUUAAUAGGUUCGAGGUGGAAGCAUGGUGACAUGUGGAGCUGACGAAUACUAAUCGAUCGAAGACUUAAUC